rnacentral:rRNA from 1 species
GAUUGACCUCGGAUCAGGUAGGGAUACCCGCUGAACUUAAGCAUAUCAUAG